rnacentral:rRNA from 1 species
AACGAACGCUGGCGGCAUGCCUAACACAUGCAAGUCGAACGAUACCUUCGGGUCUAGUGGCGCACGGGUGCGUAACGCGUGGGAACCUGCCCUUAGGUUCGGAAUAACUCCCCGAAAGGGGUGCUAAUACCGGAUAAUGUCUUCGGACCAAAGAUUUAUCGCCUUUGGAUGGGCCCGCGUUGGAUUAGCUAGUUGGUAGGGUAAAAGCCUACCAAGGCGACGAUCCAUAGCUGGUCCGAGAGGAUGAUCAGCCACACUGGGACUGAGACACGGCCCAGACUCCUACGGGAGGCAGCAGUGGGGAAUAUUGGACAAUGGGCGAAAGCCUGAUCCAGCAAUGCCGCGUGAGUGAUGAAGGCCUUAGGGUUGUAAAGCUCUUUUACCCGGGAUGAUAAUGACAGUACCGGGAGAAUAAGCUCCGGCUAACCCCGUG